AUGUCGGGAGGUGCAGUCCCGCUCCCUCAGCCUGGCUGUGGGACCCCCUCAGCCCCGGCUGAGAGCCCGGGACGCUCCGGCAGCCCGGCCAGGCUCUGCAGCCGCCCUCGGCCUCUUCCAGGCGAACGGGCCCCGCGUUUCUGGGCAGCUAACGCAGAUGCUCGGCUCUCCCUUGGCACAUGAACACACGAGUAGGCAGGGCUGACAUGGCCGCUGUCCUGUCACAGUACAGCCCAGCACCGAGACCUUCAGGCUCUGCUAUUUCAAGUUCAGCUGCACACUGUGAGGCCCAGGGAAGGAAUUACCUGAGAAGGCUUUACACUCAAAAUGAAUU